rnacentral:rRNA from 1 species
CGUAGAGAGCUUGCUCCUUUGACGUUAGCGGCGGACGGGUGAGUAACACGUGGAUAACCUACCUAUAAGACUGGGAUAACUUCGGGAAACCGGAGCUAAUACCGGAUAACAUAUUGAACCGCAUGGUUCAAUAGUGAAAGGCGGCUUUGCUGUCACUUAUAGAUGGAUCCGCGCCGUAUUAGCUAGUUGGUAAGGUAACGGCUUACCAAGGCAACGAUACGUAGCCGACCUGAGAGGGUGAUCGGCCACACUGGAACUGAGACACGGUCCAGACUCCUACGGGAGGCAGCAGUAGGGAAUCUUCCGCAAUGGGCGAAAGCCUGACGGAGCAACGCCGCGUGAGUGAUGAAGGUCUUCGGAUCGUAAAACUCUGUUAUCAGGGAAGAACAAAUGUGUAAGUAACUGUGCACAUCUUGACGGUACCUGAUCAGAAAGCCACGGCUAACUACGUGCCAGCAGCCGCGGUAAUACGUAGGUGGCAAGCGUUAUCCGGAAUUAUUGGGCGUAAAGCGCGCGUAGGCGGUUUUUUAAGUCUGAUGUGAAAGCCCACGGCUCAACCGUGGAGGGUCAUUGGAAACUGGAAAACUUGAGUGCAGAAGAGGAAAGUGGAAUUCCAUGUGUAGCGGUGAAAUGCGCAGAGAUAUGGAGGAACACCAGUGGCGAAGGCGACUUUCUGGUCUGUAACUGACGCUGAUGUGCGAAAGCGUGGGGAUCAAACAGGAUUAGAUACCCUGGUAGUCCACGCCGUAAACGAUGAGUGCUAAGUGUUAGGGGGUUUCCGCCCCUUAGUGCUGCAGCUAACGCAUUAAGCACUCCGCCUGGGGAGUACGACCGCAAGGUUGAAACUCAAAGGAAUUGACGGGGACCCGCACAAGCGGUGGAGCAUGUGGUUUAAUUCGAAGCAACGCGAAGAACCUUACCAAAUCUUGACAUCCUUUGACCGCUCUAGAGAUAGAGUCUUCCCCUUCGGGGGACAAAGUGACAGGUGGUGCAUGGUUGUCGUCAGCUCGUGUCGUGAGAUGUUGGGUUAAGUCCCGCAACGAGCGCAACCCUUAAGCUUAGUUGCCAUCAUUAAGUUGGGCACUCUAAGUUGACUGCCGGUGACAAACCGGAGGAAGGUGGGGAUGACGUCAAAUCAUCAUGCCCCUUAUGAUUUGGGCUACACACGUGCUACAAUGGACAAUACAAAGGGCAGCUAAACCGCGAGGUCAAGCAAAUCCCAUAAAGUUGUUCUCAGUUCGGAUUGUAGUCUGCAACUA